CAUAUGGGAUGUAGGCACUGUAGGCAGCGGCUUUAUCCACUACGCCACAGCACCAGCUCCCCAAGUGAUGUCUUAAUCACUGUGAUGAGCUCUUAAGUAAGAAGAGACUUUGAUUUGCAUAUUUUAAAUUCACUAUGAUUUUACUGAAAGUGUUCAUAGUCCUUGGGCUUUCUUAUACAGUAACAUGCAAAUAUUUUUCUGAAAUUUUUCUUUUGUGAAAACAGCUGUAUUUAGGUGUUCCUGGCUAUACUGUCAGCUCAGAAGUGGUAGACUUAACUAAUGAAAUGGCAGGAGAAAUCAUGGUUUCAAUUCACUUCUACUUCACAGCAUUUAAAACAGGCCACUGACUCACCUCAAAAACCUUUUUUCGAAACUUACACACACACACACACGGGGGAGGGGGUACCCAUCUGCUGAUUAAUUAUCCAAAUACCUGCAGUGUUAUGACUGGGCCUGCCUAGAGCUGGGAAAGUAAACUGGAUCUGCCACAUGGGUAGGAGGAACCUCACUGGUUGAGCCAUCACUGUUGCCUUCCUGGCAUUACCAGGAAACUGGAGUCCAGGGUCUAAGUAGAGUCUGGAGCCAAGGUAACAUGUGUGGAGUGCGAGUGUCUUAACCGCUAGACUAAAUGCCUACUCCAGCACUGAGGCCUAGUUAUGGAGCUCAGUUCUUUGUCAGGUAUCUCUAUUCUUUAGUAGCCUCUUGGACAGCACAAUCAGGGCUAGAGCUUUAGUUCAAUUUAUGUUGUUUCCUCCAACAUCCAGCAGUCUGCUUUCCAGAAGCAGAAUUAACUAUGUAGACAUAUCUCUAACUUCAUAGUUAAUCAUGGAUUUACCUACAUAUUUCUAUGUCUCUAUGCAGACUGCUUGCAUUUAGAAGUGAUGAAUGAUUCUACAACUGCUUGGGGAAGACAUUAAGACAGGAAAGGAUUUAAUUUAAGAAUGGUAGAAAUACAUUUCUUUGGUUGAGAGUAGGCAGAUAUUGACAUAUUGUCCAAUCUCUGAUAUUAUGACUCAAGGGGAACUUAGAAUUCUUCUGAACUCAUAGAGAACUGCUAUGAACAUGGCUUGGCUCCUGAACUCAUACCAACAUUUAAAGCACAGAAUGGCAAAUGCAAUUGAAGGGGUGAAUAGGUUUUCCGUACUCUGCGUGGCCUGAAGUUUUCUUCAAAAUACGGCUUAAAUGAAGAGGGAACCAGCAAAGAGCAAAAAUAACAACCAAGCAGAAAACAGUCUUUGCCACUUCCCGACGCUAAAGGAAAGAGGAAAAAAAGUACAGUAAACUCAGUGUUCUUCCACGAGGUCAAAGAACAAUGCAAUAAGGUGGCAGCCGGCUUCAGGGACAUAGCUCCAAGAAGAGCCAGGAGAAUGCACUGCCUCCCAGGGCCUCUGCCUUAAGGUUCUGAGUCCCAGAGAGAUGGUGCCUGCAAACAGAGGGAUGAGGAUAAAGGGCUACCGGCAGCGCUGAUGAGAAAAUCUGGAGUGUGCUGACCCCAGCCCCACUGCCAUGGAAGGUGUAUGUGCCUCAACUCAGCUCAGGAUCAGGGGACCCGUACGUAGGUCAGGAAUUAUCUGCAACCAAUCAUCUGUGUGCAUUACGCUCCAGUAUUAGACUGCAUGCAUUUAGAAGCCUAACCAGGGACGUGAAAUGCAACAUGUGUGCAUCUGGGAUCAGUUCACAUCCAGGUAACGUUGACUAAACACAGGGUUUGCAACCCAAAGCAGGGAACGUUAACUCAGGGAAGCCAACAAUAAACUCACAUGAUGAGUGGAGCCAUUCAAAUAUCUCCCAUGGCAGUUGUCACAAAUUACUGUUUUAGCCCAACAAACUCGGAGCUCUUUACCCUUUCCUGGUUACAGGGCUGGUGGGGAUAUGGCUGUGGGGCACUGACUAAGGGAGGAAACAGAGAACUCCGAUCUGCAGGGAUGGCAGCUCUUUGAAACUGGUCUUUUUGUGUAUAGAGAAAGAGUGCACUCAGAACAGUAGAAAGGCAGGGCAUGGGGGAAGAGGUUUCUUUUCAAGUGCACUCUGACUUUUUUAUUUUUAUUUUUUUUUAGGAUUUAUUUGAAAGGCAAAGUUACAGAGAGUGAGCAGAGGAGAGGGGAAGGAAGGGGAGCGGAGGGCA